UACAGAGGGUGCGAGCGUUGUUCGGAAUUAUUGGGCGUAAAGCGCGUGUAGGCGGGAUGGCAAGUCGGGUGUGAAAGCCCUCAGCUCAACUGAGGAAGUGCGCCCGAAACUACUGUUCUUGAGUAUUGGAGAGGGUGGCGGAAUUCCCGGUGUAGAGGUGAAAUUCGUAGAUAUCGGGAGGAACACCAGUGGCGAAGGCGGCCACCUGGCCAAAUACUGACGCUGAGACGCGAAAGCGUGGGGAGCAAACAGG
rnacentral:rRNA from 1 species